GAGUAACACGUGGGUAACCUGCCUGUAAGACUGGGAUAACUCCGGGAAACCGGAGCUAAUACCGGAUAGUUCCUUGAACCGCAGGUUCAAGGAUGAAAGACGGUUUCGGCUGUCACUUACAGAUGGACCCGCGGCGCAUAGCUAGUUGGUGGGGUAAUGGCUCACCAAGGCGACGAUGCGUAGCCGACCUGAGAGGGUGAUCGGCCACACUGGGACUGAGACACGGCCCAGACUCCUACGGGAGGCAGCAGUAGGGAAUCUUCCGCAAUGGACGAAAGUCUGACGGAGCAACGCCGCGUGAGUGAUGAAGGUUUUCGGAUCGUAAAGCUCUGUUGUUAGGGAAGAACAAGUGCGAGAGUAACUGCUCGCACCUUGACGGUACCUAACCAGAAAGCCACGGCUAACUACGUGCCAGCAGCCGCGGUAAUACGUAGGUGGCAAGCGUUGUCCGGAAUUAUUGGGCGUAAAGGGCUCGCAGGCGGUUUCUUAAGUCUGAUGUGAAAGCCCCCGGCUCAACCGGGGAGGGUCAUUGGAAACUGGGAAACUUGAGUGCAGAAGAGGAGAGUGGAAUUCCACGUGUAGCGGUGAAAUGCGUAGAGAUGUGGAGGAACACCAGUGGCGAAGGCGACUCUCUGGUCUGUAACUGACGCUGAGGAGCGAAAGCGUGGGGAGCGAACAGGAUUAGAUACCCUGGUAGUCCACGCCGUAAACGAUGAGUGCUAAGUGUUUAGGGGGUUUCCGCCCCUUAGUGCUGCAGCUAACGCAUUAAGCACUCCGCCUGGGGGAGUACGGUCGCAAGACUGAAACUCAAAGGAAAUUGACGGGGGCCGCACAAGCGGUGGA
rnacentral:rRNA from 1 species